rnacentral:misc_RNA from 1 species
CGGAUGUUUUUCAACAUAAUCUCUGUGAAAUUCACGAACUGGAAAUUAUCGAAAGCCCUGGAAGGAAUAUUGUCAUCAAAUUUAUGCAUCAUGUCCCAUGGUCCAUCACCAACUCCAACCAGUACUAUCGAUAGCGGAUGCUCACUUGCUUGCCCAAUAGCAUCAAUUGUACUACGCUCCUGAGGACUCAACUGCCCAUUACGUGUAUCUACACUUCUUGUAACCUGCCCAUCAGCGAUGAUCAUGAGAACAUGAUACUGGCCACCACUAUUGUCCACAAUUCCGAUGGCAGUUUCAAUGAUUGGGGCAAAAGAUGUUGGUCCAGCUAAAUGAACAUUUGGAACUAUUUCUCUGUAACGACUCAGUACUUCCUCGAAGCCAUUACAAGGCCUAUCUUCUGGAUGGAAGCUAAAAACUUCUUGAUCAUGAGUAGUGGCAUCGCCAAAACCAUAACAAGGAAUAAGGCUAUCCUCA